UACGGAGGGAGCUAGCGUUGUUCGGAAUUACUGGGCGUAAAGCGCGCGUAGGCGGCUUUGCAAGUUAGAGGUGAAAGCCCGGAGCUCAACUUCGGAAUUGCCUUUAAAACUGCAUCGCUUGAAUCCGGGAGAGGUGAGUGGAAUUCCGAGUGUAGAGGUGAAAUUCGUAGAUAUUCGGAGGAACACCAGUGGCGAAGGCGGCUCACUGGUCCGGUACUGACGCUGAGGUGCGAAAGCAUGGGGAGCGGACGGG
rnacentral:rRNA from 1 species